GGAAGGGUGGCCGAGUGGUUUAAGGCAGCGGUCUUGAAAACCGCCGUGGGUGAAAGCCCACCGUGGGUUCGAAUCCCACCCCUUCCGCCA
rnacentral:tRNA from 3 species